UACGGAGGGUGCAAGCGUUAUCCGGAUUUACUGGGUUUAAAGGGUGCGUAGGCGGGCCAUUAAGUCAGUGGUGAAAGCUCCGAGCUUAACUCGGAAACUGCCAUUGAUACUAUUGGUCUUGAAUUCGGUCGAGGUUGGCGGAAUGUGUCGUGUAGCGGUGAGAUGCUUAGAUAUGACACAGAACACCGAUUGCGAAGGCAGCUAGCUAGACCGACAUUGACGCUGAGGCACGAAAGCGUGGGGAUCAAACAGG
rnacentral:rRNA from 1 species